AGUGAACGCUGGCGGCGUGCUUAACACAUGCAAGUCGUACGGACUUUAAGGGGCUUGCUUCUUAAUGUUAGUGGCGAACGGGUGCGUAAUGUAUAGCUAACCUGCCCUUUCGCGGGGGAAAACAGAUGGAAACGACUGCUAAUACCCCAUACUCCAUCUUACCACACGGUAAGAUGGGAAAGAUUUAUUGCUAAAGGAUGGGGAUUAAUGGUAACAGCUAAUUGGUGGGGUAACGGCCUACCAAGGCAAUGACCACUGCCUGGUCUGAGAGGAUGAUCAGGCACACUGGAACUGAUACACGGUACAGACUCCUACGGGAGGCAGCAGUGGGGAAUAUUGCACAAUGGAGUAAACUCUGAUGCAGCAACGCCGCGUGGAGGAUGACGCAUUUCGGUGUGUAAACUCCUUUUAUAAGGGAAGAUAAUGACGGUACCUCUUGAAUAAGCACCGGCUAACUCCGUGCCAGCAGCCGCAGUAA
rnacentral:rRNA from 1 species